UGUUAAAAAAUUCAUUCAUUUGUACUGUUAUAAAAAUUGGCAUAAUUGACGAAAUAACCAAAUAAUGACAUGUGACUUGCCACGAAUACCUCAUGCUAAUAUACAUGAAUCAGUUUUUAACAAUAGAAAUGAAUGAUUUUUUUAACA
rfam:Gossypium arboreum cultivar AKA8401 contig_65442_3, whole genome shotgun sequence.